GAAAAAGUAAACUGUUGCGCAAGGUUUACUCAGAUAAAUUCCAUCAAUUUAACCACAAAGGCUUACGGGCCAUUCGACACAAGUAGCCAUUGCCGGUUUGAAUAGUUGCUGUGUGAUGAUCAAAGCAAACCCAAAUGCCCAUUCCUCAUAAUGCUUUCUAACGUCUUUAGAAGAAUGGCGGGAAUACCUAGCCCAGCCCAGUUACCAGAUACCACCACAAACAAGAGCCCAAGUUCAAAAAUCACGAGCAAGCUGUGAAGCCCAUUUUUUGCUAAGAUAUUCGUUUAAGAUAGAUUUUUCCUUUUUUUUAUUAUAAUUGUGGCCACGUGGAAUUCAAAGUUAUUUGCGUCAACGAUACGCGAUUCAAAAUCAACUCUCUUUCCACACACUACUAAGAUCAUGACACGCGUACAUAUCGAUGGCCGUGAUCAAACUUCAAAGAUAUUCCACAAGGCGCGCCUGCUAUGAAAAGGACCUCAAGCUUCUCGCCCAAAUCAUUCAUUCCAUUGACAAUCCA
rnacentral:misc_RNA from 1 species